GCAGGGUUAGUUCAGUUGGAUAGAGCACUUGGCUUCGAACCAAGGUGUCAGGGGUUCGAGUCCCUUACCCUGCG
rnacentral:tRNA from 1 species